rnacentral:lncRNA from 1 species
GCGCCCCCAACUCAGCUCGCUCCCGCUGCCCAGCGCUCGCCGAGCCACACGUCGCCGCCGGCACCAAUGGCCUCCGCUGCCAUGGAGCUCUCCCUCCUCAACCCCGCCGCAAUGCACCACCACCGCGGGGUGUCCGCCAAGACCUCCGCGGGCCUGCCCCUCGCCCGCCGCUCCGUGGUCCGGUUCCGCGUGUCCGCCUCCGCCGCGACCCCCGCCGCGCCGCCCAAGGCCUCGGGCCCCAAGAAGCGGGGCAAGACGGAGAUCCAGGAGACGCUGCUCACGCCGCGGUUCUACACCACCGACUUCGACGAGAUGGAGCGCCUCUUCAACGCCGAGAUCAACAAGCAGCUCAACCAGGCGGAGUUCGACGCGCUGCUGCAGGAGUUCAAGACGGACUACAACCAGACCCACUUCGUGCGCAACCCCGAGUUCA